ensembl:lncRNA
GCUGCCCGCCACACCUGGGUCCUUAGUGCCCUGCCUGGGCUCCCCAGGGAGGAUGCCAGACUUAGUCUUGGCCUUGGCCUGAGGGAUGCCUGCGGUGAAGGGGGCAUUCCACAGUUGCCUGGGUUUCCCUGAGAGAGUCAGAGAUCCCUGGGUGGUGGCCUUAUGGAACGGGCCACCUCUGGCCAAGUCUGGGGGAGGGAGCCGCCUCAAGGUCGAGAUGGGUGGUGGCCAGCAUCAUCGUCUCCAGGAGCGGCCCUCGGGGAUCUUCCGCACGGAUUUUGUCAUGCCCCGCCUUCCCCGUCGGAUGCUAUCCUCCUGCACCCAGAUCCAGGUUGGAGGCCACGGAUGACGCCUGGAAACUGCCUUUCAGCACCCUGUCUGGCCUUCCCUGCGCCUUGCAGGGCAGCGGUGGGAGAAAAACCUGUAGGGACGGCUGGACAUUGGCUUCGUCGGCUGCCACCUGGGCAUCCAGAAUCUUGGGGACCUGAGGAGAGGAGGGCAGGUAGCUGCUUUCCUCCUUGGAAGAGGUUUUCUGGCCCUGUUUGCUCCCAACUGACCCAGAAGGGCAGCAAGACUCUCCCUGUGUCAGCUGGUUCAUCCCCAUCCUCACUUAUUGCUGGAAAAAACACAGCCUCUCAUCACAAAUGAACCUUUCUUCCCCAGGAGUUGGGAAAGCUGUGUCAAGUCAGAAGGCUGAGAAAGGCUUGCCAAAGGAGUGUGGCAGCACAGGCAUGCCACCCAGGGAACGAAGGGGAAACCCACAGGCAUGCUCUUCCAUCAGCGGUUCCCAUCCUCCACUCUGGACUGAGGAAAGCCCGCAUUCCUUCCGCCUAGGGUGCUCCCCUUGGGAGAUACCUGACAAGAAGGGCUGAGAGAAGCCCUCUCCUGGCCCUCUCCCUGAGUCCACCGAGGAGGGGCGGAGGGAGACCACCCUAGGGCUUGCCUGAUAUACCCAAAGGAGGCUGACUGUCCCACUUAUUUGGGCCAAGACUCUGUCAGUGGGGCAAGGACAGAGGAAAGGGCCCUGAGUCCUGAAGGUUUUCUGGGAGGUGUCAUUGGCCCUGCUGGGGGAGGGAGCCCCUGGGUGUGUCAUGUGCCCGACAUGGGAGGUAGUGCCUGCUUCAUCUGGGUCCUUGCUAGCCAUGCCCUGUGUCCCAAGGGAGGUUGAUUGUCUUGGCAGUGGUGGGGAGAGGGAUCUUCAUACCUCACAGAGACCUCCCCUAAUCUAAGAGAUGCCCUCUGAACUCAGAGAGACCUCUCCUGACCUCACAGAGCCCUCGCCUGACCUCAGAGACACCCCAUCUGACCUCACCUGGAUCUCCCCUGACUUCACAAAGAAACCCUCUCACCUCACAGAGACCUACCAAGACCUCACAGAGACCCCCUUCUGUCCUCAAAGGGCCCUCCUAUGACCUCAAAGAGACCUACUCUGAUGUCACAUCCUCCGCUGACCUCAUAGAGACCCCCUCUGACCUCACAGAGACAUCCCCCUGACCUCACAGAGAUGUCCAACAUCACAGACACCCCAUCUGAUCUCAUAGAGAUGUCAAGUGACCUCAGAGACCACCUCUGACUACAGUGACCCCUUCUCUGACCUCAAAGAGAACCCCGGUGAUGACACAGAAACAUCCCCUGACAUCAUAGAUUCCUCCCCUGAACUCAAAGACCUCCCUGACCCCAGAGACAUCCCUGAUCUCAUAGAGACCUCCUGUGACCACACAGAGAACUCCUCUGAAAUCACAAAGACUUCCUCUGACAUCAAAGAGACAUUAGCUGACCUCAGAGACCUACUGUGACCUCACAGGGACCUCCCCUGACUUCACAGAGACCCCAUUUGGCCUCACAGAGACCUCCUCUGUUCUCAAAGAGAUGCCAUCUGACCUCACAAACUCAUCCUCUGGUUUCAUAAAGACACACCCUGACCUCAAAGAGACCCCACAGAGACUUCCUCUGACAUCACAGGAACCACCUUUGACAUCACAAAGUCCUUCCUGACCUCACAGUGACCCCCUCUAACCAGAGACCCCCCUGACCUCACAGAGACCUCCUUGAUCUCACAGAGGCCUGCUCUGACCACACAGAGACCUCCCCUGACCUCACAGAGAGCACUCUGACUUCACUGAGGCCUCCUCUGACCUUGCAGAUAGCCCCUCUGACCAUACACAUACCUCCCUUGCCCUGAUGAUGACCCACUCUGACACACGGAGACAUCCCCUGAUCUCACAGAGACCUCCAUGACCUUGCUGAGACCCCAUCUCACAUCAAGAGACCUCCCUAACCUCACAGAGACCAACUGUGCCCUCACAAAGACCUCCCGUGACUUCACUGAGAAACCCUUUGACCUCACAGAGACCUCCCCACAACUCACAGAGAUUCCCUCAGAUGACACAGAGACCUCACAUCACCUCACAGUGAUGUCCUCUGGGCUAGCAGAGACCUCCUGCGAACUCAGAUAGACCACUUUGACCUCAGAGAGAGCUCCCCUGACCUAAAAGAGAACUCCCUGACCUAAAAGACCUCCCCUGACUGCACAGAUACCUCCCCUGAGCUCACAGAGACCUCCCUGACCUCAGAGACCUCAGUGGCAUCAGAGACCUCCACUGAACUCAGAGACAUCAAGUGAGCACAAAGAGACCUCUCUGAUCACAAAGACACCUCCCUGACCUCAAAGACACCUCCCUGACAUCAAAGAGACCUGUGUGAGGUCACAGAGACAUCCAGUGAUGUCACAGAGACCACUCUGACCUCACAGAGACCUCAUGUGACCUCACAGAGACCUCCAGUGACCUCAAAGAGACCAUCUUUAUCCUCAAAGAGACCUCUCCAACCUCACAGAGACAUUCUCUGAACACACAGAGACCUCCCUGCCCUCUGAGACAUUCUCUGAUCUCACAGAAACCUCCCCUGACCUGGAAUAGACCUCCCCUGUCUCACAGAGACCUUGCCUGACAUCACAGAUGCCUCCCUGUCUUUGAGGACCUCUCCUGACCUCAGAAAGACACCCUCUGACCUCACAGAGACCUUCCCUGACCCAUAGAGACCCACUUUUAUCUCAUAGAGACGUCCCCUGAUGUCACAUAGACCUCCCCUGAACUCACAGAGGCCUGCCUGAACUCACAGAGAUCUCCUUGAUCUCAGAGACCUCCCAUGACCUCACAGAUACCCACUCUGACCUCACAGAGAGCUGAUCUUGCCACACAGAACUUGGUCUGACUUCACAGAGACCUCCCCUGACAUCACAACAUGCUCUCUGAUCUCACUGUGACAAGAUCUAAUCUCACAGAGACCUCUGACCUCACAGAGACCUCCUUGAAAUCACAGAGGUCUCUCCUGACCUCACAGAGACGUCUCUGCCAUCUGAGAAACACCCAGAUCUCACAGAAAUCUCCCCAGACAUCAGAUAGGCCUCCCUUCUCUCACAGAGACCUUGCCUACCAUCAGAGACAUAUCUCUGUCCUCACAGACCUACCCUGACCUGAGAGACAGCCCCUCUGACCUCACAGAGAUAUCCCUUACUUCACAGAGACAUCCUUGACUUCACAGAGACCUCUCCUACCUCACAGAGACUUUACUUGACUUCAUAGACACACUAUCUGGCCACAAAGAGACCUCCCCCUAACUCACAGAAAGCCCCUCUGACCUCAUUGAGACCUCCCCUGGCCUCACAGAUACACACUCUGAUGUCACAGAGACCUCCCCUGCCCUCACAAAGACAACUUCUGAAACACAGAGACCUCCCAAGACCUCACCGAGAACUCCCAUGACCCCACAGAAACCACCUCUGACCCCACAGAGUACUCCCUGACCUCACAGAAGCCACAGCUGACAUCAAGAGACCUCUCUGACCUCAGAGAGACAACCCUGACCUCAGAGAGACAUCCCCUUACAUCACAGAGACCUACCCUGAUCUCACAGAAACCUCCCCUUAUAUCAUAGAUAUCUCCUCUGACCUCACAGAGAAUUCCUCUGACAACACACAGACCUCCGCUGACCUCGGAGACCUCACAUCCCCUCGCAGAAGCCUCCCUUGAACUCAGAGAACUCCCUUGAUUUCAGAGAUCUCCCUGACCUGACAGAGACCUCCCAUGAAGACACAGAGAACUGUGGGGGACUGGAAUUGGCCACCCCAAGAUACGUCUCUUUAGCAUGAGGAUUAUUUUGGGCUGGUUAAUUUUAAAAACUGCAGACAUGGGGGCUGGCCCAGUGGCCAAGUGGUUGAGUUUGCGCGCUCCUCUUCAUUGGCCCAGGGUUUUGCUAGUUUGAGUCCUGGGUGUGGACAUGGCACCGCUCAUCAAGCCAUGCUGAGGCAGCAUCCCACGUGCCACAACUGGAAGGACCAACAACUAAGAAUACACAGCUGUGUAGAGGGGUGCUUUGGGGAGAAAAAGGAAAAAUAAAAAAAAAUUUAAAAAUCUUUCAAAAAACUGCAGACAUGAGAGAAACUCUGAAAAGUAGAAUUUACUUACCCUCUGUUAAGAGAUAUUUACAUUUGUAAAGGAAAUCUCCAUCUGUAAAGAUAUCUCCCUUUCUGUACCAGGAAGAAGGGGGAUGACCUUAUCUCUAGAAACUCUUAUCAAUGCAAAAGGCAAGGACUUAUAUCUGUAUAUAACCUUACUCUUGUUUACUGUGCUUUUCUGAUAAUCUCCCGUAACUGACUCCCUCCACCCCUAACAUCCUCCUUUGUCUUUAGCUGAAGAUGGUAUUUAAGGUGAUGGUUUCAGCCAUUUUGGGGAGUUACUCAGUUUUUCCAGGUCUCUCCCAUGUAUACAUGUUAUAAAGCUUUAAUUUUCUCCU